GCCGCCGGCAGUCAGACGCCCACUAGUUUACACACAAGAAGUAUUUACGUGUUUCAGCGCUCCUUUUUGUUGUUUCUUCCCACUAAGUGCCUUGGAAACAUUUUUUACAAGCCGAAACCAAAACAAGGAAAGGAGGAAACAAAGAAACAAAUGACCAAUUAGACAAGAGGAAAGAAAAACCACUAAACAUCUUAAAGAUAAAAGGCCUGAACUAUUUCUUCCUUUUCCUUGGGAUCGUCAUGGUAAAUAUCAUCGGGCAAGGCGCACAGUACCCUGGUUCACCAUGAGGGGGCGAACAUGAGCUGGCAGUGGCUCGUUGCUGCUGUCUUUCUACAGAGAGGAAACAUGGCUGAAAUAGAAAGGUCACGGGUGAGCCGGAGCCUAUCCCAGCUGACGUUCCUGCAAGAGGCGGUAUACACCCUGAACUGGUCAGCAGUCAAUCCCAGGGCACAUUUAGACAACAUAUUCACACCGUUUGACAAUUUAGAAAUAUACCUAAAAUGCAUGCUUUGGACUAUAAACCAGAAUUAGUUAAAUUGCAGUAAACACAAACAGGAGUGAACCAGGCAUGUUAACCCAUGCUUACAUCUCAUUGUGCAACAUGUGAAUGUUUUAAGGGGAACUACAAAACCCAAAACCAGUGAA